rnacentral:lncRNA from 1 species
GGAAAUGGAGACGUCGUUACUUGCUCGGAGGUGGAGAACUCUGAGCUCUUCUUCUCUGUCUUAGGUGGUCUUGGCCAGUUCGGUAUCAUCACUAGAGCUAGGGUUUUGCUACAGCCAGCACCUGAUAUGGUGAAUACUUUAAACUCCAAAAUUAAAAUAAUAUUUCAUAAUCUUAAUUAUAUCUGAAUGAUGUAUUUAAAAAAAAAAAAAUUAUUUAGUAGUGAAAAUUGGUUAUAAAAUGAUUGUAUUAGGUGAGGUGGAUAAGAAUCGUAUACACCGAGUUCGACGAGUUCACUCGGGACGCCGAGUGGCUAGUGAGUCAGAAGGACGAGUCAUCGUUUGAUUACGUGGAGGGAUUUGUGUUUGUCAACGGUGAUGACCCUGUCAACGGAUGGCCUACAGUUCCACUCCACCCAGACCACGA